rnacentral:rRNA from 1 species
GAACUACAAGUGAAAAACUUCAAACUUAAAGGACUUGACGGUAUCCCAAACCGACCUAGAGGAGCCUGUCCUAUAAUCGAUACCCCCCGCUCCACCCAACCUCAACUAGCACAAUAUCAGCCUAUAUACCGCCGUCGACAGCCUACCCUAUGAAGGUUCAACAGUAGACACAACAGCCCCCCGCUAACACGUCAGGUCAAGGUGUAGCAAAUGUUGAGGAAGAGAUUGGCUACAUUUUUUAUGAUAAAAAAAACGAAAAGUACUAUGAAACAGUACAUGAAGGUGAAUUUAGUAGUAAAAUAAACAAGAGUGUUUAUUUUAACACCGCUCUGGGAUGCGUACACACCGCCCG